rnacentral:rRNA from 1 species
ACAGAGGCGGCAAGCGUUGUUCGGAAUUAUUGGGCGUAAAGAGCACGUAGGCGGCCUUGCAAGUCAGUUGUGAAAGUUUUUCGUUUAACGGAAGGACGGUAUCUGAUACUACAGGGCUUGAGUACGGGAGGGGAGAGUGGAACUUCUGGUGGAGCGGUGAAAUGCGUAGAUAUUAGAAGGAACGCUGGCGGCGAAAGCGACUCUCUGGUCCGAAACUGACGCUGAGUGUGCGAAAGCUAGGGGAGCAAACGG